rnacentral:rRNA from 1 species
GCGUGGCCUCCGGAGCUAACGCGUUUAAGUCGACCGCCUGGGGAGUACGGCCGCAAGGUUAAAACUCAAAUGAAUUGACGGGGGCCCGCACAAGCGGUGGAGCAUGUGGUUUAAUUCGAUGCAACGCGAAGAACCUUACCUACUCUUGACAUCCAGAGAACUUAGCAGAGAUGCUUUGGUGCCUUCGGGAACUCUGAGACAGGUGCUGCAUGGCUGUCGUCAGCUCGUGUUGUGAAAUGUUGGGUUAAGUCCCGCAACGAGCCCAACCCUUAUCCUUUGUUGCCAGCGAUUCGGUCGGGAACUCAAAGGAGACUGCCAGUGAUAAACUGGAGGAAGGUGGGGAUGACGUCAAGUCAUCAUGGCCCUUACGAGUAGGGCUACACACGUGCUACAAUGGCAUAUACAAAGAGAAGCGACUUCGCGAGAGCAAGCGGACCUCAUAAAGUAUGUCGUAGUCCGGAUUGGAGUCUGCAACUCGACUCCAUGAAGUCGGAAUCGCUAGUAAUCGUGGAUCAGAAUGCCACGGUGAAUACGUUCCCGGGCCUUGUACACACCGCCCGUCACACCAUGGGAGUGGGUUGCAAAAGAAGUAGGUAGCUUAACCUUCGGGAGGGCGCUUACCACUUUGUGAUUCAUGACUGGGGUGAAGUCGUAACAAGGUAACCGUA